AUUGAACGCUGGCGGCAUGCCUUACACAUGCAAGUCGAACGGCAGCACGGGAGCAAUCCUGGUGGCGAGUGGCGAACGGGUGAGUAAUAUAUCGGAACGUGCCCAGUCGUGGGGGAUAUCGCAGCGAAAGCUGUGCUAAUACCGCAUACGAUCUAAGGAUGAAAGCGGGGGAUCGCAAGACCUCGCGCGAUUGGAGCGGCCGAUAUCAGAUUAGCUAGUUGGUGGGGUAAAGGCCCAACAAGGCGACGAUCUGUAGCUGGUCUGAGAGGUGGAGCGGCCACAAUGGGACUAGGACACGGCCCAGACUCCUAAGGUAGGCAGCAGUGGGAGAUAUUGCACAAUGGGGGAAACCCUGAUGCAGCAACGCCGCGUGAAGGAUGAAGGUUUUCGGAUUGUAAACUUCUUUUGUCAGGGAAGAAACGCUCUGGGCUAAUACCUUGGAGUAAUGACGGUACCUGAAGAAUAAGCACCGGCUAACUACGUGCCAGCAGCCGCCGUAA
rnacentral:rRNA from 1 species